rnacentral:rRNA from 1 species
UACGUAGGGUGCAAGCGUUAUCCGGAAUUAUUGGGCGUAAAGAGCUCGUAGGCGGUUUGUCGCGUCUGCUGUGAAAACUGGAGGCUCAACCUCCAGCCUGCAGUGGGUACGGGCAGACUAGAGUGCGGUAGGGGAGAUUGGAAUUCCUGGUGUAGCGGUGGAAUGCGCAGAUAUCAGGAGGAACACCGAUGGCGAAGGCAGGUCUCUGGGCAUUAACUGACGCUGAGGAGCGAAAAGCAUGGGGAGCGAACAGG